rnacentral:rRNA from 1 species
GAUGAACGCUGGCGAUAGGCUUAACACAUGCCAGUCGAGGGGCAGCAUGGUCUUAGCUUGCUAAGGCUGAUGGCGACCGGCGCACGGGUGCGUAACGCGUAUGCAACUUGCCUCACAGAGGGGGAUAACCCGUCGAAAGACGGACUAAUACCGCGUACACUCUAUGUUGGGCAUCCAAUGUAGAGGAAAUGAAAUUCGCUGUGAGAUAGGCAUGCGUCCCAUUAGCUAGUUGGUGAGGUAACGGCUCACCAAGGCGACGAUGGGUAGGGGAACUGAGAGGUUGAACCCCCACACUGGUACUGAGACACGGACCAGACUCCUACGGGAGGCAGCAGUGAGGAAUAUUGGUCAAUGGGCGAGAGCCUGAACCAGCCAAGUCGCGUGAAGGAUGACUGUCUUAUGGAUUGUAAACUUCUUUUAUACGGGAAUAACAAGAGUCACGUGUGGCUCCCUGCAUGUACCGUAUGAAUAAGCAUCGGCUAACUCCGUG